CCUGGAAAUCUGAGGAGCAGUCUUCAGCGGCCAAAGAAUGCAGUUCUCCCUAGACAUGCAUGUAUGUCGCAUGAAGGGGACUGAAGUAGGAUCAGCUGGUAUCCAAGAAACACAGCUUCAGGACAUCUAGGAGUACUUUGGAGUGAACUGGCAGGAAGCCUUGCAAUACCACAGUGGCAAUAACAGUGGCUGUCCUCUGGAGAUGCUGAAGCUCAGCUUGAUUUUGAACUUUUCUUACACCUCCCAGCUUGUACACAAAGGACUUAACGUUGAUUUGGAUUUAUAUGGUAUAAAAUGAAUGGAUAUGGGAUUUUUUUCCCUCCCUUUGCUUGACAUCUGCAUGUUUCUGUCAAUCAGCGAUGAAGUGUCUACUAGGUCUGCUGACAUUUGGUUUGUUUUCAAGAUCUCUGAGUGACAGGUACUGUAAACAUCCUACACUCUCAGCUGUGGAAACUAAGAAAGCUGGGAGAAGGCUGUUUACUCUCCCUGCCUUGGAAGUCUUCGGGAGGACAAGGAUUCAAUAUAGUGAGCUCUGUGUUGAUUGUAUUUCUGACAACCUGUAUUUCACAUUUUGUGUUAUGGUGUCAGUAAACAAAUAAUAGCGUUAUGUCAUCAGUAUCUCAUGUUCUGACCGAGGUCAGAAAGGCCUUACAAUACAUUUUAGCUGCACUGCUGGCUUAAGGGAAACUUAAAUAGUAGCAAUAAUAUGUUACAAUACUUUCAUCCUUAAGCAGUGAUUAAAACAGACCUGUUGCACUGUUUGUAUAUGAGUGCUGGUACAUACAAAUUACAGUGUAGACAUCCUCAGGUUGACACAUCAGUAGUGUAUUUAAUCAAAAUAAUCCUUAAAUGUUUGGUUCUUGUUUUUCUGAUUCACUCUAUUCUCGUUUCCUACUCAAAAGGGCUAGAAAUAGAGGUCAGAAGGCAAAAAGAUUCUAGAGGACUUCAAAUUUCAGGUUUUUUGGAAGAAAUUCAGAGGUGUCAGCACUGAUUAACUCUAUUUCUAAACUAAUAGAAUUAAAGAUACAGAGGUAUUUACCUUAUGUUUUCCACUUGCUGUUCCCUGCCACUUGCAGCCAAGACUAUUAUUCUUUGUACUUUCUCCUGGCAGUCUUCCUCUUUCCCCUUGUGUUUCUUUUAUUCUAUUUGCUGUUAGCCAAGUAGAGCUUCUCAUUUUAAAUGUAGAAUAAGCUGGAAAAACAAAAAUCUUUCUUUUAAAUCCAAUAUACUGCUGGCAUGAUCUAAGUCCUCAUGAAUUUUAGUUUUGUAGCUCUUCUUAAGCAGUGACUUUGACAGAAAGGAUGUCGUUGGGUUUUUUCUUUUUUUCUUAUUUAUGGGAGGAGACACCUUUUGUGCUUUCUAAUAAUUUUUUCAUAAUACAGUUGAAUUCAAAGAUCACCUUCUCCUUUUGCAAUAGCAUUCUUAUGUCUUCAGAUUGUGCUACUUCAGCUUUUUAGCAAAGGCAUUUAAAUAUCAAAUCUUUGAAAUAAGGGCUGUUCUAAGAGUAAGUCUCUGGGUUUGGAAAGUGAUGUGGGUGGGAAGACAACAGGAAAAUGGUAAAAGAUCAUUUAAUGAUUUGAAGUAGUACUUCUACCAAAUGGACAAAAAAGCUAAAAAAAAAAAUAUUAAAAAAAGUAAAUCAGUUAUUUGAAG